rnacentral:rRNA from 1 species
UACAGAGGGUGCGAGCGUUAAUCGGAAUUACUGGGCGUAAAGCGUGCGUAGACGGUUAUUUAAGUCGGAUGUGAAAGCCCCGGGCUCAACCUGGGAAUUGCAUUCGAGACUGAAUAGCUAGGGUGCGGUAGAGGGAAGCGGAAUUUCCGGUGUAGCGGUGAAAUGCGCAGAUAUCAGGAGGAACACCGGUGGCGAAGGCGGAUCUCUGGGCCAUUACUGACGCUGAGGAGCGAAAGCGUGGGGAGCGAACAGG